GAAGUUAAGUCCUGUGUUAUUUCUCUCUGCUGUCAGCUAAGUAUCAUCUGUAAUGACGGAAGGGAAAAUGUUACAUAGAUAAUAAAAAAUGGUGGAUAAUAAAAAUAAUUGCUGCUUGGGCAUUCAUUAUGCAAUUUGGGGGGCAGCUAAUUUAUCUUCCUAAUUAUAUUUUGCUUAAGCUGAUUUUAAAAUUAGUUUGUUUACCCUGAGCACGCACUGAUUAACAGCAGAGAGAGGUGGCCCAGAAACAUCUUGGGUGGUAGAGGGAAGAUAUUUUGAGAUUCAGGGGAAUUUCUGUGGAUAAUGUUCAUGUAGCUAUGGGAAGGUAGAAGGCUGAUAGGUUGUUGGUGCUCUGAGUGUAAUUAACUAUUGUGAUUUGUUGUUGGGAGAAUUUAAAUAUAAGGCCCUAGAUUGCAGACUCAGAGAGGGGAAUGAACCCCAAGCUCCUUCUUGUUUAUUCUUCAGUGCUGAGGAGAGUUCAGACUGUCAAUGUAGGUAGAUUGAAAAAGGAGAUGGAGAAGGAGAGCUAGCUGGAGGUGACCCCAGGAAUUUCCUUUCAAUCGAUACCCAAGGACGAUUAAGUGCCUAUUACGUACUGCUGUCUAUUACAUACUGUGAAUUAUGCCCAGAGCUGAGGAUGCCAAGAUGAAUAAGGCCAUUGUCUUACCCUGUGGAACUCCACAAUCUAGUAAGGAACAGGCUUAUAAACAGAGAGAUCACAGCCCAGUAGAAUCAGUGUUAUCAAGAAAACAGGAUCACAGUGAGAGCAGAGAAGAGAGAAGAGAGGGUGGCUAUCACCAUAGGGGAGGCAGGAAAGGAAGGAGCUCCACCCCUCACUCUUCCUCUGUUCACCCACUUUCUGGGUAGUUGGGGGAGGCAGGAAUGGGGUGGGGAGGUAAGGGAUGGGGUGUAGAAACCCCUUCAGGUUCAGUGUCAGCUGGCUGCUGGCUGUUUCAGCCAGUGGGAGGUGCUGGGACAGGCUGGAGGAUGGGAGAAGAGGAAAGUCAGGGUAGCUCUCCCCUUUCUCUGCCUGGAGUGGCAUCUUCAAAAUCUUAAAAGCAUAUGGUCUCUCCCAUGAGUCCAUUUCCCACUAGACAGGUCCACUGGGGUCCAGCUUCAGCAGGGUGAUCAUGGCUUCUGAGCUCUGGUGACUUUCUUUAAUCGCCCCUCCAGCCUCUGGGUGGUAACAGUUUUUUACUGGUGCUAAAAAACUGUCUCACUGUCUCCUGGUUGGUGACUCCAUGUUUUCAUCCUCUGGAAAAUCAAUCCCAUGCAUUAAAUUCACUCUAUUUAAAUAUAGUGGGUGGCUCUGAUGGGUAUGAAAGGCUUCCCAGGGUAACUCAUACUUGAACUGUUUUUUAAAGAAUAAAAAGAUAUUUGCUAGGUUGAGACACAGGAAGACUGUGUCUGAAACAUACUUGGAGGUGUGAAACACCGGAGUGUGGGGACCCAGAAGGGACAGACAUCCCAGCAGGUGAGAGCCACUAAAACAUUAGAAAGGAAAUACAUUGUUCAGGUAUUUUAGAAAACUCAUUUGGCCAGCUCUGCUCUGUAUAGAUUAGCAAAGAAAACAUGAGGGUGGCUGUGAAGACUAGUUAAGAGACAAUCACAACGAUUCAGGCUAUAAGUCAUGAGGCGAACUAUAUAUGCACAUAGAGGCGUGAUGGAUAAAUGUGGAUAGAGGACACACUCUAGCUAUUAUUCUCUUAACUAUAUCCAAGGAGAAAAUAUCUUAUUUUCCUGGCAUACAAUAGGUGCUUAAUAAAUGCUUGCUGAAUGAAUUAGUAAUAUUCUACUAGCUUAAUUUGUGUUAUGAAACCUCAGUUCCCCACAUGUCUUUCCCUUAACCAAAACUCUGACCUGUCCCAUGGAGUCUGUUGCCUAAGGUCACCAGGUUUCUGCCUCCCUGUUUAGGACAGCAUGGGGUCCUCCCACGGGUGCUCUGGCUUCCCAGCCCUGCUCUAGAGCAUCCCUCUCUCUAGUUACUGACUGCCCCUCCUCCAUCAGAGCCAUUCAAUCAGACGGUAUUUACAGACACUUACAUACUAAUAGCUGGCACUGUGUGGGACACUUGCCACUCAUUUAUCUCGAUCCUUGCAACCACCCAGUGAAGGGGCUACCUUUAUCCUCAUUUUAGAGACAAAGAAGACAGAUAGAGGCAGAUAACUUGUCCUGGGUCAUGCAGCUAGUAAGUGGCAGAGCUGGAACUCAUACCCAGGUGUAUGACUCUCAAGCCCAGGUUCUGAGCCACUAGGCUAGAUUGCCUGGUACUGGGUGCUGUAUGUAGCUGGAGAUAUAAAGAAAUGGAAGACAACGUGUGGGGAGAGAAAGUGUGAAUGCACAAAGAAUUAACUCUGAUGCUAAAAAUAUGUAGUGAUUCAAGUCAACAAAUGAAAAGCUGCCACAAAGCAGAAUGUCGACUGCCAGUAUAAAUAGGGAUAAGGGGAAAGAGAGAUCAUCCUAGGCUGGGGUAAUCAAGGGAGGCUUAAGGAAGUAGGUAGUAUUUAACCUGUGGCUUUCCUGCUAGUUAAGGAGACAUGCUGAAUUCUUCUAAAACAAUGCAAGAGCAACUGGGAGGUCACUAGCAGGCCAGUGCAAAUUGCAGCAGGAAAUUAAAGAAGGGAGAGAUUUGUAUAAACUGGAGAAGGACAUCUGGUUGAUUCUGGAGCUCUGAGUGCCUGUGGAUGGAGCCUGGGUGGGUGGCCUGUGGGUGGAAUACCUUCUACCAACUUUGCACAACCACCUGUAGCCGACUCUUUUCACACAUGCACGUUCCUAGGUUGAAAUAGGCUCCUUCCAGGACUCCAGGUUUUCCUCUGGGUGUGGCCUGUCCUCAGUCUUUCUUCUCACACAUCACCUGUGAUCCCGCGGCAGGGAAGACAGAUCCCACUACACCUGAGAAAGAGGGACCAUCUCUUCCAGUUCUUGGGGAUAAUAGAAUGACAAGCAACACAUGAGACUCAACAUCAAGUGUACUUACUUGAUGGUAUACUCCUUAGGUAACACAGGGAAAUGGCCCGGUGACUCCAGGAGGGAGUCAGGGAGCCUGAGCAUGCAGGUGAGAGAAUGCCUCCUUGCCCUCUGUGGUAACAUCUCUAUCUUUUAAGCAUAUCCAUCAUUCCUUCCCUUGUGGGGACUCCUGCCCUACUCUAUGUGGUCUCAAUGGGACUUGAUUGACUAUGUCGCCCUCUACCAUAGGGGCAAGGAUAUAUAACCCAGCUGGCCAAUCAGACUACUCCAUCCUCCUGGCCAUAGCGAUUGAGCCAAGCCUGGUGAAUAGGUAGUGUGAUGGUUAAUACUGAGUGUCAACUUAAUUGGAUUGAAGGAUACAAGUAUUGAUUCUGGGUGUGUCUGUGAGGGUGUUGCCAAAAGAGAUUAUAAUUUGAGUCGGUGGGCUGCGGGAGGCAGAUCCACCCUUAAUCUGGUGGGCACAAUCUAAUCAGCUGCCAGCAGAUAUAAAGCAGGCAGAAAAAACGUGAAAAGGAGAGACAGGCCUAGUUUUCCAGCCUACAUCUUUCUCCUGUGCUGGAUGCUUCCUGCCUUUGAACCUUAGACUCCAAGUUCUUCAGUUUUGGGACUCGGACUGGCUCUCCCUACUCAUUAGCUUACAGACAACCUACUGUGGGACCUUGUGAUCAUGUAAGUUAAUAUGUAAUCAACUCCCGUUCAUAUAUGUAUUUGGGUUGGGGAUUGGUGCGUUUGCAUAUAUCAUAUUAGUUCUGUCCCUCUAGGAGAACCUUGAUUACUACAGGUAGCCCCUGCUCUCCAGCAGUGCUAGUCUUGAGCUGCAGGAGAGCACCACUUAACAAUGGCAGGGCCCCAUGUGAGCCCACACUGGCUAAUGUGCUGCAGUUGUUCAGGAUUUAGCCUGGAGCCUGCCUAGGAUAUGAAGGGUUGGUCUCCUCUGGUCUUUUGAAGGGUGCAUAUCCAGAGACUCUCAGUUGAUUCUUGGUUGCUUUGGAGAUUUGGGGUCUUUCAGUGCUAGACUGGUUUACCCUGAUUAAGAUUAAAUUUUACUUCCCAGGACAGAAGCACAUAAUGGUUACAUUUAAAGUUAAGGUUAUAUUUUGCUUUCUGGAACACAGACACAUAACAGAGGCAUAAACCUAUGGAUCUUUGCACCAGAGGUGAUUUGAAGAGGGAAUGCAGGCAUGCCCACCCCUAGCCCCUUCAUCUAGGCAUCCUGUUAAAGCAAAAGGAGUUUGCAUAUAUACUGACAAGUUUUCUUCCAAGAAUAUUGUACCAAUUUACAUUCCUACUAAAGAGCUGAAAGUGCCUUUUUCUCUCUGCCUUCCCAAAGCACCAAGCCCAGGUGUUUAAGUUUAAAAAAAUAAUCAAUUUUAUAAAUAAUAAAUUAUAGUAAUCUCUCAGCAUGCAUUGGGGAUUGGUUCCAGGAUGCCCGCUAUACCAAAAUCUGCACGUACUCGAGUCCCACAGUCGACCCUGCAGAAUCCACAGACAGGAAAAUUUGGCUGUUAGGUUUCGCAUCCCAUGAAUACUGUAUUUUCAAUCUAUGGUUGGAAAAAAUCCACGUGUAAGUGGAACUGCACAGUCCAAACCCAUGCUGUUCAAGGGUUAACUGUAGAUUGUCGUAUACUAAUUUGUAUUUCCUUGAUUUCUAAAGAGUUGGAGUCUUUUUCAUAUUUAUUGUCUGUUUAUAUGUCUUCUUUUAUGAAUUACUCCUUUGGGUGUUUUACAAUUAUUUAACGGUAUGUAUAUCUUUUUCUUUUUGAUUUAGUUUAGUUUAGUUUUGAGACAGUGUCUUGCUCUGUUGCCCAGGCUGUGUGCAGUGGUGUGAUUAUGGCUCACUGCAGCCUCAACCUCCUAGGCUCAAGUGAUCCUCCCACCUCAGCCUCCCAAGUAGCUGGAACUACAGAAGUGGGCCACCAUGCCUGGAUAUUUUUCUUAUUUUUUAAUAGAGACUGGGGUCUCCCUAUGUUGCCCAGGCUGGUCUCAAACUUCUAGUCUCAAGUGAUCCUAUCACCUCAGCCUCCCAAAGUGCUAGGAUUACAGGCAUGAGCCACCAUGCCUGGCCUUUUAUU
rnacentral:lncRNA from 1 species